UACGAAGGGGGCUAGCGUUGUUCGGAAUCACUGGGCGUAAAGGGCGUGUAGGCGGGUGCAUAAGUCCGGCUUUGAAGACUGGGGCUCAACCCCAGGAGUGGGCUGGAGACUGUGCGUCUGGACCUCUGGAGAGAGAACCGGAAUUCCUGGUGUAGCGGUGGAAUGCGUAGAUACCAGGAGGAACACCGACGGCGAAGGCAGGUUCUUGGACAGAAGGUGACGCUGAGGCGCGAAAGUGUGGGGAGCGAACCGG
rnacentral:rRNA from 1 species